rnacentral:rRNA from 1 species
UGGGGAAUAUUGGACAAUGGGCGAAAGCCUGAUCCAGCCAUGCCGCGUGUGUGAAGAAGGCCUUUUGGUUGUAAAGCACUUUAAGUGGGGAGGAAAAGCUUAUGGUUAAUACCCAUAAGCCCUGACGUUACCCACAGAAUAAGCACCGGCUAACUCUGUGCCAGCAGCCGCGGUAAUACAGAGGGUGCAAGCGUUAAUCGGAAUUACUGGGCGUAAAGCGCGCGUAGGUGGUUAUUUAAGUCAGAUGUGAAAGCCCCGGGCUUAACCUGGGAACUGCAUCUGAUACUGGAUAACUAGAGUAGGUGAGAGGGGAGUAGAAUUCCAGGUGUAGCGGUGAAAUGCGUAGAGAUCUGGAGGAAUACCGAUGGCGAAGGCAGCUCCCUGGCAUCAUACUGACACUGAGGUGCGAAAGCGUGGGUAGCAAACAGGAUUAGAUACUCUGGUAGUCCACGCCGUAAACGAUGUCUACCAGUCGUUGGGUCUUUUAAAGACUUAGUGACGCAGUUAACGCAAUAAGUAGACCGCCUGGGGAGUACGGCCGCAAGGUUA